GACAUACUCCCUCCGUUCAACAAAAGAUGUCUCAAGUUUGUCAAAAUUUGGAUGUAUCUAGACAUGACUUAGUGUAUAGAUGCAUUCAAAUUUGGUUAAAGUUGAGACAUUCUUUGUUGGACGGAGAGAGUAUUGU
rnacentral:pre_miRNA from 1 species